rnacentral:lncRNA from 1 species
AUUGAGUUUUCAUUGGAAAGAAAGGAAACCUUGAUUCUUACCAUUGCUGCUCCAAAGGAGGCCCAGGUUAAGAGGAUUAGAGGAGACACGCGGUGCUGGGCAUUCCUGGCAGGUGUUGGGUGAUCCCCGCAGUAUGUCACCUGCAGUUGCAGCACAGGCAGCUAGUGAUUGGGUUCAUCUCCUCCUAGUGGUUGGAAGAGAACUCAGAUGUAAAAACCAGCGGUCCUUCUCCCACCUUCUUUCCUGCCAUUCUUGCUCAUCAUACAUGUCCGUAAACUUGAAGAACUCGUUUUAGCAGCUAGCCUUUUAAGGUCGAGGAUGGGAAAGCUAAAACUGUAGAAUAUUAUUAUGCUGCUUUUUAGGUUUAUCCCUGUUGUUGUGGGAUGCAAGUUAAGGGAUUGUAAUUGUUUUUCAGGGUUUUUUUGUUUUUUGUUUUUUAAGCAAGGGCUCUAUUUUCCCUUGAGAGUUCUGGAACUAAGCCUUGGAGAAACACUACUGAGUGUAUUUAGGCUCCCUGGUUUUCUUGCCCAACAACAAUCUGAAGGGUAGGGGGUGGGGGCUGUGUCUUACUCAGGGGCAGCACCUAGCUGUCUUGCCUACAGUGGGUGCACGAUAUAUAAAUGGAAUUGAUUUUUGUCAACACUGUCAAGAGUGGCAUUGACUAUUGGAGCAUACCCCGUCCACAUGAUGCUUGAACUAUGUAACUUCAGGGGUUGAGGGCUCAAGGUUCAGGUUAAAGAGGCACUGUCAACUUACUAUACAAGCAUAAUUUAGGUUUUUCCUUUUUCUACUUGAAAAGGACCAGCUUAAACACAAACCCUUAUGUAAAUUAAAAGGUUUGAAUCCAAAGCAGAGAGAACUGCUUCUGGAAAAGUGUAGUUUAAUUUUAACUAUUCUAAAAGCAAUGAGCAAAGGCCCUUGUCCAAGGCGUUGACAGUUUUCUAAAGUGGUUAUGCUGUAUAUCUGGAUGCAUGCCUUUGGGCUGCCACUGCUUGAUUCCUUUCAUGUACAGAUAAUAUUACUUCAGUUUAGAUUUCCCACUUUAAAAUGCAGUGAUUUGUGUUGAAUACAUCUUGAUUGUGCUUUACCUAAAGUAUUUUCUUAAAAGGCUUUGUGUAAAAUUUAAAUGUAUAUAUUUUCCUGUAGACUUCCAUCAUGAUUUUCAGAGAUUAGCCUUAAAAAAUUUGGCCCUAAGAAAUUCAUUCAGUGUUUUUCUAGAUGACCUCUGUACAUAGAGGUCAUUAUAGUGGAGACCCUUUACCAGCAGCAUUUUAAGAUUUAAAUUAGAUAGAAAGUUUCUUAGGAUUCAACUGAAAAUUGGCUAGUAAAAUAUGUCCCAGGUAAUAAAGCAUGCUGACUUUGCUAAGGCACUGCCCAUUUUUAUUUAACUAAAGUCAUGGAGAUUUUGAGUUUAAAGGAUGCAGUAUAGAUAGUGGUUUAGUGUUUAGGCUCUAAUGCCAGUCUAAAAGGCAAGUCAUUUAACCUUGGGAGCCUCAGUUUCCUCACUGUAAAACAGGGAUAAUAAUAGUAACUACCUCAGGGUUGUUGUAAGGAUUAAAUGAGAUGAUAUUUGUAAGAUACUUAGCUCAAGUGCCUGGCACACAAUGAGCACACUCUAUAAAUGUUCUACUACUACUAUUAUUAACACCUAGUCUAGGGAUGCACAGCAGAAUCCCCUAGGGUUAAAAAACAAAACAAAACAAACAAAAAAAACUGACGGAAUAGCCCCACUCCAGAUCAGAAUUCCCAGUGGGCUGGGGUCUCGGCCAGUGUAUUCUCCAGUAAUCUCGCCAGGUGUUUGAAACACCCAGUGCUAUCUGAAAACUAUCAGUACCCCAACCCUUUGGUUUAUAGAUUAAGAAACUAGCAGAAGAUGGUUAAAUUACUUGCCUAUUGUCUCAGAACGGUUAAUUAGUGGCGGAGCCAAGGCUAGAAUUCAAGUCUCUUGACUUUAUGGUUGUGGGGUCUUUCCACCAUACCUGCUGCCAUGUGAGACACUGCAAAAAAGUGGCUCAGACCGACAAUCAGCCUGUGUGGUGCUGCACACUUUCUAAAGCACAUGCUCCUGACACUUUGACCUUAAGGGGCUUGAAUGUGGAGUAAUGGGAACACAAGCCAAGCAAGCACUCAGUAGAAUUCAGUCAUUUAAAAAAUUCAAUGGGGUCAUUCUUUUGGACAGACCUCAGCAACACAGCAAUGUGCACUUUGUAGUAAAGAAAUACCAACUUGAGUUUUUAAAAAACCUAGUUAGUCCUACAUUCCCUUUUCUUUAAAAAAACUUUAUUGUUCACAUUAUUUUAAUGACUAUGAGAUAAUGUAUAUGACAGCACUUUGAGAAAAUAUCAACUGUAAUAUAACUAUAAGGUUGUAGUAUUGUCUGUUUAAAAGAUAAGACAGUUGAUUCAAUGUGGAUGGACCCUGUGGGGUACCUGAAAAUGUAGAUACGUAAGAAUCACCUCUGUCAUUUAUCACAUUUAGAAAUAUGAAACUGCUUAACAGGUAUGAGCAGGUAUAGCAAGUGUUUGCUAAAGUUGUAGUUCAGAGCUGAAUUACUUCAGGAAACUAGGGACCAACUUUUUGGUUUAAUUCCGAUCUUUAAAAAGUAAGAAUGUGUACUCACUCCAGAACACAGAAGCUCUUCCAAGGACCUUGACUCAAGAAGGAUGAGGUCCUCUUACUCUUCUCCAUUUAUCCACUAUAUGCUUGGCCAUUUAUCCUAAAUGUGGUGGGAACAGACUUGUUAUCUGUUGAUGUUGACAGUGUCUUUUUUAACCUAUGUCCUGCAUAGUUUUGUUAGGUUUACAGGGGGAGGUGGAUGGCCAUAAAACCAGUGCACUUUGGGAAUUACUUUUCUAGGAUUUCCUACCAGUUAUAAAUGACAUUGACAUUUGUCAUCUUUUUUUUCUUUUUCUAAAAAGAAUAGCUGAAUUUAAUUCACCUAUUAUAAAAUACUCAAAAGUAAAUUGCCUUGGUGGCCACUUCUGAAUUAUAGCUACAUUUCAUUAUGACCCCUUCUGCUCCCUUCCAUUUUGCUACUGAUGUCAUUCUUGUUAUCAGGCUGUGCCCCUACCAGGAGUUCAUAUUGGGUUGACAGGGUUAUCUAUAUUUUUGUUCUUGAUUUUUGAGUUUCAUCAUCUUGCAUUAAAUUGUUCCACCUGGAUUUGGGGUUCAUCUCUGUGCCCUAAGGAUCUGCUAUGACCAAUCCUCUUUUUGUAGGUGGGUCUCUGGCUUAAGUAUUGAUAGGCUUCAGCGGUUUGUGUCUCUGUCUUAGCUUGUAUCAAGCCAGUAGUAGCUCACUUCCUUUGUAAAUUCCUGCUUCAGUCUGGGAUCCGUAGGAGUAUGUGAGAACUUCUGAAACGUCUCGCCUGUAAUCCCAGCACUUUGGGGGGCUGAGGCUGAACCCAGGAGGCGGAGCUUGCAGUGAGCCCAGAUCGCGCCACUGCACUCCAGCCUGGGUGACAGUGAGACAAAAAAAAAAAAAAAAAAAAAAAAAAAAAAAAAAAGAAAUUCUAAUGCAAAGCUUGCUUUUUUUUUCUUUUUUCCAGCAAGCCAGUAGUAAUAGUUAUUGUUACUUGCUCUGUUCAGCACAACUGUAGUUCACUUGAACUUCACUGUCAUUCCCUACGCUCCUCUCUUACUGAGAAGCAUGGGUGGGAUUCAGGGCUGUGGGACAAGCUACAGCCUACUCUGGAGCACUCACCCCCAUGACUCAGUCCAGCCUGUCUCUUGGGAAGUUUAUUGCAAUGUGCAGACGGAUGAAUUUCUGCUUUUCAUGCCACCUCUCUGAGGUAUGUAUUCUAUCUUGAGUAUGUACAAGAUGAUACCUUUUGGC